UUUAAAGUGGAAGUCAAAUCCAAUCAGAAAAUGGUUAAGUUACUCUCAUAAUAGUCAUGUCACUGUUGCACUAAAGGGUAUAUCAUAUCUAGCAGGUCAUUAUUGUAGAGCAGCUGACUAAGACUGUUGAUGGUCUUUUCCCUCCUAACACCUGCACAGCAUCUUCUGUGACCAUGAAGAUUAGUUGGCAUGGAGGAAGUUUCCAGUUCAUCUCCACAGGUUGAUUCCUCUAUGAUCUGUGACCAACAUCUGUAGUGUCUUCAACAGCAGGGUCUUACCAUCAAGUUCUGGUGAGCAACCAAGAGCAAUGGCAAUAGCCUAUAUAUUGGGUAUUUGGGGGAGGGCAGCUUUGGGAAUUCCUAGACCAAACUCAUAGAGAGCCACCCCCACAUGGCACUGGCGUUUUUAUUCAAUAGCCUAUUAUCCCUUCUUGAUAAGUAUCUCCAUUCACAUUAUCUUUAGAUUGAUUUUUAAUAAGCUUAUUAAAUACUAGGUUUCCAUAUGGAUUUUUCACAUAUCCUUAGUUUUUAUUGCCCCCUCCUUUCUACUCCUCUUCACUAUCUUCCCACCACCUUUUCUAUUUAGACACUUCUACCCCCAUUCUUCUUCUUCUCCAUUUUUCAUGACUGAUGUCUUCCACUAUCUAUGUACCACAUUUUCAUUAUUCAUUCAUCAGUUGAUGGACAACUAGGCUGAUUUUACUUCUAUGUGAUGGAUGAUACUGAUUAAUUUAUAUAUGUUGAAGCCAAAUUGAUCAGGGGCAGAUCUUUUAUGUACUCUUAAAUUUGGAUUCCAAGUAUUUUAUUAAGGAUUUUUUGCAUCACAUGGGCACUGAGCAAGCCACAUGUGUAGUGCUACAACUCUGCUUUUGAAGUGUAUCUGGGACAUUUCCCCUUAGGUCUUCAAGUAAAUGUAUAUGUCGCAUUAAAAAAUUAACUUCCUGAAUAUGCUUGUUAAUGUUGAUAUAGUAUUUGAAAAUGAGAUAAACACUCAAAAGAGAGUUCUAUUCAUUCCUAGUUUAAAGAGGAGAGAAAGAUGGCCAAGGGGAGCAGGGUAGAAAGACAUGAGUGAUGCAAAAGAUAUUAAGGAGAAUCUGUAGUUGGGUGGUAUGUUGGAUCUGAAGUCUUUGGGCACAGAGCAAAGGAGACAAGUCAUUUUGAAUGGUGGAACUCAGGGAAGCCCUUGCUAGAUGGUCUCAGGUGAGGCUGGAGAAACUGUCUAAGGCCACUUCCACAAAUGCUUUGCAAACUGUCAGGAGUUUACAAUUUUGUCAGAGGGUAUGAAAGUCACUAAAGAGUUCAAAGUAGUAAUGUGUCAAAAAAUCUAUCUUAAGAGAGAAAGAAAGUAUAAAAAUGUGUGGCCAAAAUAUUCAUGGAUACUGCGUAAAUGUGUGUGCAAAUGGAAACACACAGAGCUUGAAGCUAGAUGAAGUCACUGCCUAUGAGCUGUCAUGGAAAAACCUAAGCUAACAAACUGUUUGGAAAUUUUAGUAUACUCAUAAAAUCUAAUGAGCAAGCAGAUUAAAAAUUGUACAGAGAUGUGGAUACAUAAAAGACAGCCUGGGGACCUGAAGAGAUGGUUCAGAGGGUAAGAGCACUGGAGGCUCUUCCAGAGUACCCAGAUUCAAUUCCCAGCAGCCACAUGGCAGCUCACAACUGUCUGUAACUAUAGAUCUAGGUUAUCUGACACUGUCACAGAGAUAUAAAUGCAGGAAAAUACAUACACACACACACGUAUGUGUGUAUAUAUAUAUAUAUAUAUAUAUAUAUAUAUAUAUAUAUAUAUAAUUAUUAAAAACAGCAGUAUGACAUUAGCUCUCAAUGGCUGAUAAUUGAUAAUAUACAAAAUAAAUAAUAAAUUAUAUUAAUGUCUAUUGGAAAAAUUAAAUGCAUACCAAUACAUACUACUGUAAAAAAAUAAAGAAGAAAAGGAAGGAAAAUGACUGAAUGCAUG
rnacentral:lncRNA from 1 species